UGCCUUUGUGUUACCCAUUUAUUGUAUUAAGUCAUGAAUGUGGUGUCAAACAAGGCAGACAUUAUUUGUCCUUGUGAUCCAAGGUGCCUUUUGCUUUAUUUGUGCCUUGGGCACAGGUGUACGAGGAAACACUU